GCAGAAGUGAUCAAAUACCACCAAAAGAAAGCUCUAUAUUGAUGAGAAUUUAAAUGGCUCAGAAAUGAGUGAAAUGUCAGUAGUGCACCAUCUGCUGGUAGCUGGGAGUGUUACACAGGGACAGGAGCAAGACUGCAAGGCUUAUGAGUACUGCGGGCGACAGUAAAGCGACUCAUCCUCAAGGCCUCUUCAUAACACGGUGGGGUUUCAGGUCCCACAGUCGUCAGCUGAGAUGGAGAACCAUGGGAGUGUGAUACAGCAAAUAUCCUGCGGGCGGCUGGGCCAAAUACUGACUGCAAAGCUGUAAGCAAAAAGAGAUACAGAGUUUAUUAGAGGACAUCUUGGCACAUUAUCGAUGUACUAUUGAUGGGAUUUUAUGGUAGUUUUAAUUGUGCAUUUCAUAUGAAGAUUCCUGCCAAAACCUGCAUAAGCAUAAAGAUUGUUAGAAUGAGUCAAUGAGGAGGUCAGCCAAUGAUUUCUAAGUAGUAAUAUUAUAUUGUAUAAUGCCUCACCUUUAUCCUUUUCCUCCAGACAGUGUGUCUGAUGCCACGUACACACAAUCGGAAUUUGCGACAAGAAAACCGUGUUUUUUUUUUUUUUCCGACAGACU